AGUGGUAGCAGGUAAUUAGGAGCUAAAAUCAUGUUUAGGAAAUUCACUAAAUUUUGCUGUUGUCAGUGAAUAUAGUUGUGAAUGAACUAGACAAGACCUUGCAACACCAAAGAAAAAGCCACUUUCUGAAGGUGAGAAGAGGAAGAAGAAAAUUGUGCUUGGGAGUUUAAUGAAAGCGUGGUGAGGCCUGGUGGUGAUGAUCAGGAUAAGGAAAUAGAGUGGAGCAAGAGGCCAAGGCUUGGCUCAGAAGAAGAAAUUUAGUUUAGCAUCUGUGUCACUCUUUGUAUGACUACAAGCUAUAUGAAGGCUUGCCUCCCUUAUAAACUAUGGAGAUGGUCCCAUCUACUGCUGUUAGCAAAGUGUUACGUAGAGGAGGGGCAAAUAUAACUAAUUUCAGGAAGUAUCUUAAGGUGGGAUGUCAAGGUUUUGGGGCUUAGUUUGGAGUUGGAGAGAAAGGGGAAGAAAAUGGGCAGCUCACCAAGGAGGUGGUGGACACGGAUGCGGUGCAAUGAAACUAAAGUAUAUAUAUUCUAAGUAUAUGAGUUGGGCCCAGUUGUUGCUAUGCUGUGUCGGAUAGGGCAUCCUCCUAGCUCGAAGAGGAAGCCAAGUCAUCCUCCAAAGGCUGCUCCUGCUGGCGGUCCGGCUGCUGUUGCUGUGGUGGCAGCUGAAGCUUCAAGUGGCGACUCCUGUUCAUUGCUGUCUCUGAUCCUGCCACUGCCGUGACUGCAUUGCGGCCGGCACCCAUGGUUGUGCCUGCUAUUCAUCACAACCAGAAGAAUUUAGAAGAGCAUUUGGAGAAUACCAAUGUGGAUGAUUCUAGCUGCUGUUUGCAGUUUUUGCGGGUUUGAUAUUUACUUCUAAAUGAUGCAUUGAAGCUUUAUAAUAUAUAGAGCAUGAAGUGAUAAAUUAUCCAACACUGACAGUAAGUGCUACAAUAGCAACAACUAAUCCUAUUUUAUUUGCAACAUGAGAAUCCAAAACUUCUUACCAUUAGAAAAUGAGGUGGAUCUAUUGUUAAGUGAUUACAAAGUAAAGAAAUGACUUCCGAUAUCAACGUUGGAUGAGGUUAUUACUAAGAAAUUAAAUGUUGAAUCCAUUCGUUAUUAUAAUUUUAUCAUAACACAGAAGUAUGUCAUUGUCAUUUGACUGCCACUUUUAUGAGUUGGAAUAUUCCUCUUAAUUCAUAUUAUUUGCUGGUUUUACUUUUUAGUUUUGGAAUUAAUUAAAUAAUAUUUGUGCUGCAAUUGUUCUUUGAAAAUAUUUUUUCCCUUAUAUUUUUUUUCAUCUUGCUUUAUGUCUAGAUUAUGUUAUAGAUCUUUUAUUUAGUCAAUGUCUUAAUUUUUGCUUGAAAUGGUAUUGCUAUUCUAAUUUAGCUUUUCGCUAUUGCUUUUGGUUUGUUUUCAGGAUGACAUAAUUAAUCAUUUGUUUCAUUUUGCUGAUAUUCAUUGUUUUGUGUUUUAUUUUCUAUUUAUUUUACUUUGUUUAAAAAAUAUAAUUGAAGCUGAAAAUUUCUGUUACUAGGUGGUAGCCAAGUAACUAUGUUGAAGCAUAAUUUCUUAUUGGGAUUUUGGUCUCUGAUCAUUGCCUUAUUUGAUCUAUACUUAUUUCAGUUUAUAGGUUUGGUGUUUGAUAUUGAUAGAAAUGUUUAUAUCACAAAUUUCUUUUCUCUAGCAGAUUCUAUGAUGAAAAUGCCAUGUCACUGACAUUUAGUAUUUUUGCGGAGCUGAUUGAGGUUUGUCUUUGUGUUGAAAAGUUAAUUCAAAUAUGUAUAUAUAUGCUGUUACAUGUAAAUAUAAAAUUCCUUUUAAGAAGCUGUGGUUACUAGGCA